rnacentral:rRNA from 1 species
CAGUGUGUGUGUUAGUGGAAGCGUCUGGAAAGGCGCGCGAUACAGGGUGACAGCCCCGUACACAAAAAUGCACAUACUGUGAGCUCGAUGAGUAGGGCGGGACACGUGGUAUCCUGUCUGAAUAUGGGGGGACCAUCCUCCAAGGCUAAAUACUCCUGACUGACCGAUAGUGAACCAGUACCGUGAGGGAAAGGCGAAAAGAACCCCGGCGAGGGGAGUGAAAAAGAACCUGAAACCGUGUACGUACAAGCAGUGGGAGCCUCUUAAUGGGGUGACUGCGUACCUUUUGUAUAAUGGGUCAGCGACUUAUAUUCUGUAGCAAGGUUAACCGAAUAGGGGAGCCGAAGGGAAACCGAGUCUUAACUGGGCGUUAAGUUGCAGGGUAUAGACCCGAAACCCGGUGAUCUAGCCAUGGGCAGGUUGAAGGUUGGGUAACACUAACUGGAGGACCGAACCGACUAAUGUUGAAAAAUUAGCGGAUGACUUGUGGCUGGGGGUGAAAGGCCAAUCAAACCGGGAGAUAGCUGGUUCUCCCCGAAAGCUAUUUAGGUAGCGCCUCGUGAAUUCAUCUCCGGGGGUAGAGCACUGUUUCGGCAAGGGGGUCAUCCCGACUUACCAACCCGAUGCAAACUGCGAAUACCGGAGAAUGUUAUCACGGGAGACACACGGCGGGUGCUAACGUCCGUCGUGAAGAGGGAAACAACCCAGACCGCCAGCUAAGGUCCCAAAGUCAUGGUUAAGUGGGAAACGAUGUGGGAAGGCCCAGACAGCCAGGAUGUUGGCUUAGAAGCAGCCAUCAUUUAAAGAAAGCGUAAUAGCUCACUGGUCGAGUCGGCCUGCGCGGAAGAUGUAACGGGGCUAAACCAUGCACCGAAGCUGCGGCAGCGACACUAUGUGUUGUUGGGUAGGGGAGCG